rnacentral:rRNA from 1 species
UCGCUAGUAAUCGUGGAUCAGAAUGCCACGGUGAAUACGUUCCCGGGCCUUGUACACACCGCCCGUCACACCAUGGGAGUGGGUUGCAAAAGAAGUAGGUAGCUUAACCUUCGGGAGGGCGCUUACCACUUUGUGAUUCAUGACUGGGGUGAAGUCGUAACAAGGUAACCGUAGGGGAACCUGCGGUUGGAUCACCUCCUUACCUUAAAGAA